rnacentral:snRNA from 1 species
AGAUAUUAGGACAAUCUAGCUAUUAUAGUUGUCACCCCAUUGAUCACUAGAGUUAAUUCAGCUUUUCUGACUGGCUAGGCAGAUGUUUCCUUCUUUGUUCACUGCUCCACAUGCGUCCCACCCAAAGCGGCUGAACAGUGGAAGAGAUGACCGUCUCAGACAGGAGUAUAGCAUUCUUUGGUCAAGAGUAUGCAAAAGCUGUGUGUUUCCUGCUACAACCUUCAAACAAAGGUUCUUUAUCCCAAGAGUUUUCAGGUUGACCUAUCAAAUAAUCAUGCCAGUGUUGAAAUCCUAAUAUGUAUCUCUGAUACUAUUGAUGAAUUA